rnacentral:lncRNA from 1 species
UGACUUUCUCAUGCUCUCUUCCCACAAGCCAACAGUUCCAAAGCCGUGAGAUUUCUGCUUCUGCCAACCUAGAGCUGAACGGUGCACCAUCUCAGUGACAGCUUCCUUGCAGGCUGACCUACUUUGACCAAUGACUUUCAGGAUUGUCCUCCUCCAAGCCAACUGCCACAUGUGAACGCUAGCCUGCUGGAAAGGGCACACGGAGAAUAGUGGUGUCAUGAGUGAUAGCCCCAACCAGUGACCAGUUGAGUGAUGGAAGCCACCUUCCACAGGCAAGCCAAUGAACCAAAAAUUUGAAGGAGGACAGAUAAGCAGGCUGCCCUGGACACAAGGCAAAGGCUUUUGCAAUGCAGUUGUCAGCAGCAGUCAUGCAGCAGUAAGUGAUGGAGGCCUGAGAAGUGACCUGUUACCAUCUAAUCUCAGCAGUCACCAUUUGCCUCUCCACUGUCCCCUCCACGCCUCUGGUGAUGGCUUAGUGACUCUCCUUGCCCAGCAGGUCGGUUUUCCAAUUACUUCCAGCCGGGCCUGCUUUCCCCUGAAUUUCAUUUCCGGGCCUGUUGAAGCCAAAUUAAUUUUUAAUCACCUUUGAGGUGUUCUGUUUAAUUACCUGGGUUGAACUGAUGAGAACAGUGUGUACGGAGGCGAAACUUUGGGGGUGCUUCUCAGGAACGGGGUGUGGGGUGUUUCUAGAGUGCUGUGCAGGUGGAGAGACAUGGGAUGCCCAGCAACAUGACAGACUAUGAGGACUAUGACGGACGGUGUAAGAGAAAGAAGAGAACCUCGUGAGUCUGCCUCACGUGACACAACCCAAAACUUCCCCUUCAGAUCCCUGCAAACGCCUGAGCUUGGAGUGGAGACUCUCACUUAGGAAGGAAAAAUGAGCUGAGGAUGUGCCAACAAACAGGCAUGUGCCAUCAAGGCCUGUUUAUGGCUGAAACCCAGGUCCUUGUGCAUAUGAGACCAGCACUCUACCAACUGAGCUAUGCGGGGACUCUGAAAACAGAUUUUUAAAAAUUCGGAUUUUUAUAAAUAAAUAUAUAUGUGUGUGUGUGUGUGUGUAUGAGUGUUUCCCCUAAAAGUUUGCAUGUGUGUGCAGUGCUCUGUGAAGGACACCAAACCCCCCUGGAACUGCUGUUAAAGAAGAUUAUAAGCCACCAAGAAUGGGUGUUGAGGAUAAACAGCAGUCCAGCAGAAGAGCAGCGCUUGUUCUUGACCACUCGGCCCUCUCUCUAGCCCCAGGAAGUAGAUUUCUAACAUUAUUUUACAUUAUUGAAGAAAGUUAAAGUAAUACUUUGUGGUAUGUUUUGUUGGAGACCAGCAGAAUGGGUUUACACAUUGCCCGUUGCCAACCCUCAGAGGCAGAAGCGAACAGUAGUGACACACACUGAAUGGACCGCAAAUACUUACUUCUAACCAUUUCCAGAAAAAAAAAAGGCUCUCUGACCUUUGACCCAGGCCAGUUGUGACACUCUUCUCUCUUUUUCCCCCUAAGCUUCCUUGCAGCUAGGAGUGGCCACUUGUUCUCCUCAGUCAGGCAAAGAUCUGCAGGGGAGACUGGUAUAAAGCCCUGCUGUUCCAAAGGAAAGAGUGGGAUGUGUCUGGGAACUCUCCCACCUACUUCCUGUCUGAACUGUGAGUUAGCCCUGGGGAGCCCACCCAGCCCUCUUUUAGAACCCAUCUCCUGCUGAGAGACAGGAAGCACAGGGUCAUGAGUUCAAGUAGAAGGGCUGGGUCCCCGUUGGCUACUGUCCAGGAGAAGCGGAAUGCCUGCCCUGAGCACCUGCCCAGAGGUUAGGCUACUUGUAGCCUAGAUCCGAGGAGCCACUUGUCUGCCAGGAACUUGUCAGUGGCUCCUGAUUGCCAGACCCACAUCAGUACAUGGGAAAGUUAUAAGGUAAACUAAGGUCCACUGUUGGAUUCUGGGGUCCUAGAGGCAAAAUUUCUCAGUGUUCCCUUAUCCCCGAAACUCCUAUAGCUCUCAAAAGAUAAUAAUCAAAAUAAUGUUGGAUGUUUUGGAGGAUGUUUGAGAGAUGAAUAAAUGAAUGAAUGGAUGGAUGAAUGAAUGAAUGAAUGAAUGAAUGGAAGCAUAUAGUUAUCAAGAGGGAGCUACACAGAAUUGAAAGCAGCCUGGAAAGUCUGACCUAGGUAUUCUAUUAGUUAACAAAGGAAACCGGGUUUCCAUGAGUAUAAUUGGCUUUCCUAUGGUCACAAGAGUUAGGAGGAAAAAAGUUGGGAUCCCACCUUAAGGCUGGUUCAACUCCUUGGAUACUGGCCUCUCCGGCCUCAGCUCCUUGGACAUUCCCUGAGGCAAUGCCAGACAUAAUCUGUAGAAGUAGGUGACAAAUCUACCAUCACCUAGGGGAAAGCAUGAAAGGAAACUUGAUGAGUUUGGACGACUGCCAGUCACUGCCUCUCUCCCUCGCAUCCCCCAGUUCUGCUCCUAGAAUUGCCAGGAACACGUCACCUCCUUAGCAGGUGCUCGGAACAUAUUUGGAAGAUGAGUCCCCUCGUAUCAGUGCACAUUCCUCAGCAAAAAGUCACAGGCUGCAAAACUUCAAAAAAAAAAAAAAAGCAGGAAAACGGUGUAUGUGCUUCAGAGAGCCACCCACUGUGCCAAGCACGGCGACGUAAGCCGUCUCAUUUGAACCUCCUCACAACAGGAUGGGAACUGCAUAAUCUGGGCACAGUGCCCCAUGCCUGUGCCCUAGCACUCAGCGAGUUGAGGAAGGAAGACCAGAAGGUACAGGGUCAUUCUCGGCCAUAUUUGCGGUUUGCGGCCAGCCUGGGAGACCCAGACUUGGGCUAGUGAAGAACUGUGGAUAUGAACUGCAGGAUUGCUGUAAGGAACAGCUGACACCCUGAACUCUGCACGGAGAACGCUGUAGUGAGAGAACUGUCGGGGAGAGAGGAACAUGGUACCAAAGUAGGAAUGGGUGAGGCUCUGUGUGCCCACAGGACAUGUCCUUUCAUGGGUUGUGGGUCAGGUUCAGCCACAGUGUGAUUGCUCAGCUGAUGUGUGUAUGCUAAAGGGCAGGGUCCAUGCAUUAGGAGUGGCUGGGCUGGGCUGGUGUGGUGUGCUGUGUUUCCCGUGGGGAUGGCGGUGAUUCAUUACCCUUCCCAGCCCGCUCAGCUUCUAUCAGGGUUCAACUUGUAGUAAACAAGUCAGAAAAUGCCAUCUGGGUGAGAAAGAGACGGGGGGGGGGGGGGGGGCGGGGAGCUUCCGAGGUGACCCUCAGUGUCCUGUCAGCCCCAAAUCUUCCUGGAAACUACACACUGGAUCCACAGAGCUCAGAAUCUCUCUCACCAAUGGCAGAAAACCCUUCUUCACCCAAUUUCCGAUCUUUUUUUUUUUUUCUGGAAUGUUCUAGAAACUCUACUCUCCUGGGAUGAUUCUGAGAUAUAACCACUCCAGCUUGCGCUGGGGGUGGGAGUGGGGGUGGGUGUUCUGCUGCCCAGAGGAUAUCUGUUGGGGUGCUUCUGGGAGGUGUGCAUCAAUAAAUCAACCUGUGCAUGCUAUUAAUCAACAGUUUCCCUGAAGUCUGGCCAGCGAAAUUCAGGCUUGUUGUCUAAGUGAGUAGGUCUGACGUUCUCGGAGCAGAGAACACAGGAGACACAGUUCAGCCCGCAAGAUGAAUAAAACCACAAUCACAACAAGAGCACAACUAGAGGAACGAUUAAUUGUCAGAUUGUGAGAGUCUCCCUUGGUUCACCAGGGCUUUCAAAAGGACAGGUAAGACUAGCCAGUUUGCCCCAAAAAUAGGCCAAACGAGACUGGAAGGGCUUGAGCACUAGAAGUUCAAGGCUCUGACCCUGGGAGGCUGAGGCUAAGAUGGUUCUAGGACUGGUUCCCUCUGAGGCUGUGAGCAAGACUGUUUAACUCCUGUCUCGCUUCUGCUGGCGACUAGCAUUUGUUUGUGUCUGCUAGUCUCUACCGUUGAAACAACCACAUCUGCACAGACCCCGUUCCAAGCAAGGUUGCAUUCUGAGGUACGGAGGUCUAGGAGUUCAAUCCAUGAAUUAUGGAUGGCGACACAUAAUUUAACCCAUAGCAUAACCAGAAGCGGGUUCCACAUAUGGAUCACGCACAGGAUCUUCUUUUGCCAGUCCACACAGAUCGCCAACGAGUCUUCCCGAAAACGACUUGCACUCCCCCGGCCCCGCCCUUCGAGGUGGUAGCCGGCCUCACCUUAUCUUACUUGCAACUCAGGUGUGACUGGCCCCACCCUGGGUAAGAGGUUACUGUGAGCAACCAACACUGGGAGAUCAUGGAGGAAUGGGGCCAAGAAGGGACCUCAGGAUAAAAAUAGCUCCAGCAGUAGGGGUAGGUGGCGUGUGACCAGAUGACCUUUGCCCUUUGAGACUUUGAAAGUCACCAGGUUGGGAUGACUCAGCUCUCCGCUCAUCACCUUGGGGAAGAGUGACCGUACAUGGGGGGGGCGGGUCACUUCUCUUUUCCUUCCUCCCCUGGCAGCUCUUCUGGAGCUUCCAGAAGCCUGAAGAGGAUCCCAUGACGACACUGAUGUAAUCCUGUGUGCCCUGUAAAAGGGGGGUGGUGGAUCAGAACUGAACUGUCUUUCAAAGCAAGGCUUUGGACUGAGCGCUCUGGACCCAUUAAUGCAAGGUCUGACUCUUCCAGACUGAGAGACUGCUGAAGGAAGAAGCAGUGACCCACGGCUGAGUACAGUGGCCAGGGUUCCAGGGUACACAUCUGUCAAUUCACCCCUCUGGAGGCAUGGGCUGCUGGAAGUGAGUUCCGUGAGAAACUGUUUGGUAUAAUCCGUGAAUACUGAGAGAACUGUAGGCUGUCUGUGGGGAAGAGGGAGCAGGUGUUGCCCUCUCGCCUGUGAAUCACUAGGGAGGUGAAAGAGUUCAUACAGCCAACCAGGAAGCAGUCACUCUGACAAGCCAAGCGAAGAGAUGUUUGGCCACCUGCAUCUGACUUCUAGAUCGGCUUCUGUUCUUGGGACCAGCAAUGCUUGAAUGAAAAGCUCUGCUGAGUGCCUGCUGCAGAGAAGCCUGGACCCACAGGGCACCGGGCAUGAAGGAAAGCAAGCGGUUCCGUGUUGAAGGCAAGGGUCUCUGUCCUGCAGCAGGUAUGCAGAAAGUCGCCUCCGUGGUGGAAGGGUCUGAGUGGUAUAGACCCCAUAGCACAGCCUCCUUCGCCUCACACUCUCCGUGAUCUCCCCAGUCUCCUCUGAACAGCCAUAAAGCUAGUCAUUAAAAUGUGCCUCAAGGUCGGCAAUCAAUCUCAAGGGGGUUUUAGUUUAUUGUCUGGAGGAGGAAGCCUUCCACUGCCUCUCUUGUCACUGAAGAGGCAUCACAUAAAGGACCCUUUAAUCUCACCCAGACAUCUCAUGGGGCACCAUGGCGAGUAAGUCCCCUCCCUGGCAAACACACGGGCUCGUUAACAGGGACCUUUACCACCAGUGACACAAUGGAACUUUCUUUAUAAGGGUUGAAAGGGCACAGGAGUUGCAAAAUGUCUUAAGGGCCAUGAAUUGUAGACUCCUUCCUGCCCCUCUGCCUGGGGUCAAAUGUGGGGACACUCAUGCAUCGGUGCUAUGCCUCCUAUCCACUGUGCACCUUGCUCAUAGGUAUGUGGCCCUGUCAGAUUUCUCUGUCCAGGACCAUGUCUCUGUCUUGCCUGAUAUCCCCACUGGUGUGUCUCUCACAGUGCGGUGUAGUAUGAGGACACUCAGUGUGAAGAAUGUAAGCCACAGGGAGCCAGCUAAGGAACAUAGAAUCCUUGAGUUCACUCUGACUCAACACUGGGGUUUUGGGCCUUGUAGGAUACUUAGCAGUAUCCCUGAUCUCCACCAGUGUGAUACCAACAGCAGCCUGCCAACCUGCUGGACAACCAAAACUGUCCCCAUACAUUGCUCUGGGACAAAUUACCUGGCUGUGCCAACAGUGUGCAUGGCAGAAGUCUGUGUACAGAGAGCAUCAGAGAGCAGACACUGAUGUUUGGGAUGCCCACGGGACCUUGUCUGGAGAUGGAGGUGGGGAUGUGUGUGGUACCUUUCCCACACUCUCCACGGAAGCUCUUUGUCAUUCCUCUUUAGAAGGUGUCAGGAAAAGGGGGGCUGCUGUGGUCAGAACCCUUGCUAUUUUAUUAUUAGCUAUUACGAAGCACCGAAAGCCCCGAACUUGGCUGAAGUGCCCUCUUGAGACAAGUUAUGGGAUGUGGGAUGACUGUCUGUUUUCAGCGUCCAGCACGCAGGGAUUGGGGCAAGCCCAUCAGCCUAAGAUGGCGAAAACUAUGGUGCCAGCACCCAUUACAUCAAUUUGUGAGAAAACUACGCAAUAAAUGGCAUCUCUUACUGUUCCUGUGAACUUCCUGCCUUUGAACCCACUCACCACACUCCCUUUACGGAUCUCAGGGAAACCCCAGAGCCACGGUGCAACCCCUCCUCACCCACAUAGGCCCGCUCCCUGGCCCAGGUACGCGUUGGCUUCUUACUGGGACUUGAAGCAGCACACGUGGGCUCUGGUUCUCACCCACCACUCUCAUCAGGCGGGGCUUCCCCAGAACAAAGGGUGCCAUCUGCUCAAGGACAAACCCAGACUUCAUUUCUGUUGGUAUCUUCUUUCACCAUCUUUCCUUCCUUAGGCUGUAUUUUAAAUAUUCUCAGUCAUCCUAUCAGACGGAAUGUGUUUCACUAAAAUGUCAACUUUGUACAGUAAAUGGGUGACCCGUGGAGGAAAAAGGCCACCUACAGGACGCAUGAACAGGUUUGCAAAUUGUAGACCUGAUAAAGGACCAAUAUCCGGGAUAUACAAAGCACUCCUACAAACCGCUGCCACAGCCAUCAACAGUGACAGAAACCGGGGAGGGGGGGGAGGCGAUUCAGCCAAGCAAACACUUGUUUUUCUUCUACAAGUCAUAAAAUGGUCAAUAGCCAUGCCUCAAUGCAGGAGUCCCAGGAGAAAUGCAAAUCAAACCCACACCGGGCAGUGGUGGCGCAAGCCUUUAAUCCCAGCACUUGGGAGGCAGAGGCAGGCGGAUUUCUGAGUUCAAGGCCAGCCUGGUCUACAGAGUGAGUUCCAGGAUAGCCAGGGCUGUACAGAGAAACCCUGUCUCGAAAAACAACAACAAAAUACAAAACAAAACAAAACAAAACAGAAACUACUUCCCACCUAUCAGAGCAGCUACCAUGUAAAAACCAUUACUAGUGCUAGUAGGAUGCCCUGGACACUGUUGGUGGGAAACAAACAUGACUAACUCUGUAGAAUACACUCUUUAAAGAAAUGAAGGAAGGGAAAGGAAAGGGGAAGAGGAAAAGGAAGAAAUAGAAUUAUUGUAUGGCCCAGUAAUUCUGUUUCCAGGUAAGAACGCAAAAGAGUAUUUUAAAGGUCAUGGAGGCUGACAAGAUGGAGGAAGGGCAGGUUUAGCUGUACCUUCUGGGUCACCUGGCAGCCAUUGGUAGCUGUGUGGAAGGUGGUGGUCAUGUACUUGGAGGGCAACAAUAUUUUUGGCACUCAUCCUUCUGGAGCUGUAUUCGCCUUGGCUGGAAAACAACCAUUCCUACUUUCCACAACCCCGACAAAGACGAGAGAGGAAGCCUGAGACCUGGAGGGAGGGUAAAGGCACAGAAGGUCUCCUUAGGUAACAUGCCAGAAUGUUCCAGAAUACAGACUUUUGUGCUCAGACUCCACUUCAUAGCAAAGUCCCCUUAACCCCACCAUGGGCCUGCCUCCACACAGAGGUAAGUUGGAAACAUGGGUGCUUAGAAAGGCCUUAGAAGAAAACACAAAGACGCUGUCCAAAGCUGAGUGCCCAAGGCCGGGUGUCCAAGCCUGGGUGCCCAAGGCUGUGUGUCCAAGGCUGGGUGCCCAAGGCCAGGUGUCCAAGCCUGGGUGCCCAAGCCUGUGUGUCCAAGGCUGGGUGCCCAAGCCUGUGUGUCCAAGGCUGGGUGCCCAAGGCCAGGUGUCCAAGCCUGGGUGUCUAAGCCUAUGUGUUCAAGGCUGGGUUGGACAGCCUGGGUGUCCAAGGCUGGGUGUCCAAGACCAGGUGUCCAAGCCCGUGUGUCCAAGGCUGGGUGCCCAAUCACCCAGGCACUUGCCAGGCACCAUCGUAGGCGCACCGGGCCCAAGAGGAGAGGAUGUGGGUUUGAAUAAGACCCAGACUUGGCCCACGUUUGUCGAAAGUGUAACUGUGAACUCAGACAUCUAAAGAUGGAUCACAGAACAGUGACGCAGUUAGUGUAUGUGUGCCGAAAACUGAACAGAAGCAAAAACAAAGAGGACAAAACAAGAAACCCCUGAACUUAGAAGUGGCUGGAAUUCAAAUAUGCAUUUCCCCCGGAGGUGUAGGUGUGUAUGUGAAGUCUGUAUGCAAAAAGAGGCAGACACCGUUACUCUGCAGGGAGAUGCAAAUCCAAACCACAGUGAGAUGCCACCUCACACCCAGCCUACCUCGCUAAGGGAAAGGACAGAUCCUGACAAGUGUUCAAAGAGGUGAGACAUUGGAAUUCUCACAGCUGGCAGACAUAACAAAGCAGCUCUGUUAAACAGUUACUUUUCUCAAAGUUUAAAAAAUAGGAAAUGAAAGUUACAUAUGAGCCAGGGUUCUGAAAGAAACAAUGUCUAAGACUUUAAAUUCAGAAUUCUUUGUUCUUUCUUGACAAGAAAAAAAAAAGAAAUAAAAUUGCUCGUCAAUUUAUA